rnacentral:lncRNA from 1 species
GACAAGCACAAUAAUGAUUACACUUAUUUCCCUCAAGAGUAAAUGUGUUGACUAUUACUAUUACCACAAUAUUAACAACCACAGAGUAAAGCAUCAGAAAGAGUUUAAGCAAUUUAUCCAGCACAAGAGGGUCUAGAAAAAGAGAAGGCUGCAUUAUCCGAAUUGAAAAAAAAACAUUGAAUGUGCAAUGCUCCAAAAAAAUAUUGCCUAUACCAUUGACACUCAUCAUGAGAAGACCAGAAGAUUACUUAGGAGUUUGCAACAAAAUACUAAUACAUGGAAGUUUACUUUUUAUUUUCUUCUUGGUUUUAUGGUAAGUAAAAGUAUUAACUAAUACAUGUGGUUGUGUUAAGUGAAUCUACUUUCCCUUAAUUAUGGUUUGAGCAUUGGAUGGAUGUUUUCAUCCAUGGAUGGACUGGGCUAAGGUUUUCUAAACAGUGUUAGCAGUAGAAGGUAAACAACAAUAUCAAACACCAUUCCAGUCAUCACAGAAUAGACUGUGUGGGAAGAUAUGUCUGCCCCCACACUGAGUGCCCUCUUCCAAAUACCAGUAGAAGGUAAACAACAAAAUCAAACACCAUUCCGGACGUCACAGAAUAAACUGUGUCGGAAGAUAUGUCUGCCCCCACACUGAGUGCCCUCUUCCAAGUCGUAUCACUACAGCAAAAGAUAGUCUUCCUUGUGGUCGCAGGCAAGCCCAGUAGUCCCACACUUAGCAUACGAUACUUCUAUCCUCCAGCAUCCUAUUGACAUGUCCCUUUAAUACCAAGAACCCUUCCAUGUCCAAGGGAAAACUCUUAUUAUCCAGAUUCUGGACAGACUAUAGAGUCAGAUCAUUUCUUACAUGGAAAUCAAAGAAAGGUAGAGCUAACCUGGGCAAUAAAACCUGUAUAUUACUCAAGAAUGCAGCUUAGCAUGUAUAUUGAACAGAGCAGAUAUAAACAGACAUAGAAAAGAAUAUUUGAAAAUUUACUGGAACUUGUAAUUUAUGAGCAUGAAAUGGAACAGAAUGAGACCCAAAGGAAAAGAACAAAAAAGAAGGUGAGAGAAGAAAAUUUAGUGGUGAGCAGAUAAACUGUAGAAUCAACAAAUUAAACUGAACAGAAACAUGUUUCUUUUAUAAGUUGGGAGCUUACAGUUUUCAACUUGUAAAAAUAAUCAUCAUGAGGGUUUUCAUUUACCUUUUAUCUAACUGCCCAAUGUUAACUACACAGACUCAUAACAUACCACAGUAAAAAGAAAAAGAAGAGGGUCAUUAUUUCAUCAUAAGGUUUGGAUUACUUCCAUCCCACUCAUUAUUCAUUCCAUGUCUUGCUUAUAUACAUGACAAACAUUACCAAAGAGGUACAAAUAAUGGUAUAGGGCGCAAGAACAGAUUCAAACUGUAUUUUUCCAUUUAUGUACAGUAAGUUGUGAUUUGCUCUAACACCUAAGUAUGUGGCCUAGUGGUCAAUACAGUGGAAGGAGAACCAUAAGGUUUCAUGUUUAUACCCAACAGAGGCAAAAAGCACCGUAUGAUAUCUUCUCAUCCUUUAAACCUUGGUGAGUAAAGCUGUCCGGUACCUAUAUAGGUGGCGAUAGCAUGUACCCGAUAGAACACUCAAGGUCAGCGCAAACUAACCCGGACACUAACUUCACAAAAAAAAGGUUGAUCUGCACCAGGUAUGAAAUAUUAUAGUAAAAGCUUUAUUAAGUCAUAUUCAAAAAAAUUUGGUCUGUUAACUGCUCACACUGCCCAGACCUUCUACCAACUCCCGAGUUUUCCUCAGCUUUACAUGGUAAUUCCUUGUUUUGGUUUUAAACAUUAAAAGAAAUACAGCAAGAUAUGGCUCGAUGUUGGUUUUUCUGCAAAACAAAUCUACCCAAAUCACCGUACGCACACUCGUAAGGUAAAUCACAGUUUACAGUGCACAACACCCCCACCAGUGCGUGCAAAAACAUGAAAUCCAUCAGCCCGGUCAACUUCAUGAUUAUGUAUCAUCGAACCACAUGCAUAUUCAAAGGAAUCAUGGAUUAAUAGAACUGCAUCUUUUAUCAGUAUAAAACUGCUUGACUACGAGUGUUUUCAUCAUUGCCGGGAAAAAAACAUAAUCACAAAAACUAUCCUGAGCACGACAAUCACAGCUGUAUGCGAGCAUAUGUGCAUGGAAAUCAACACAGAUGAAAGUAAAGAGAUAAAAAUACAUGUUAAACAAUUAAAACGUCGAUAAUGAGUAUACCUGACCCUUAACCUUCAGAUUGAUAUGAACCGCCUGAUCGUUAGGCUUCUUCUCUUCCUCUCCUGCGCCACAACUACCGCCGCCGCUAGCCGACAUGAUGAUCACGGUUCUACGACUGUUCUUCCGCCGAGGGUUAUCUUUAUACAGUGAGAAUCAAAGCAAAACAACCUCUU